AACAUCCCUAAUGCGCCUUGAAAUGAGGAACUCAAAAGUCAUGUGUAAAGAAAAAAUCUCUGUGUAGUGAUAUUGGACAUGUUUCUAUUUUUAACAAAUGACUGAACUUAAUUAUUUGUGGUGAUUAGGAAAGUAGAGGAACAUAGAAUAAAUGUGUAAAAACUAUGGAGCUAUUGAAUGUGUUCAAAGUAUUAAAUUUUCAAAGAACUUAUUGUGUUAAAAAGUGGAUAUUUUACCACAAGGAGCCGCAUCACAAAAGGAUGUUCGGGGUUUGCUAAUUUACGGAAAAAGUAAUCUCACUUCGUACCCCGAAAAUUUAACCACAUAUGUGAAAAUGUCACAGCUUCGAAACGAGCUAUCAUACAUAUCCAAGUUUACGAUAUGGACUGAUCUACAGGAAAAAACGUUACCAUUAUCGCCUAUGGGAAAACAAUUAAAGAUAUUGAGCCAAUUUACAAAAAGAUAAAUCAGAAGUUUCCAGAGUGAUCUAUGGAUGAUUUCACCUUGUACACCCGGGAAAAUUGUGAAAAUGAUGGUAAGUAUUUUUUUAUUUAUACCUAGAUAUCCCAGAUGAUUUCAGAUAACCAUUAUAGAUAAAUACCAGCAGAUACUCAAUGAAAUUUUCGCUUUUAGAAAGCAUUGCAGGCACGGGGCUGAACACUUUUUUUAGGCACAAUUCAAACUUUGUUUACACCCCCGAGAGAUCCGAAAGGAAUUUGUUUAUGAAUUGAAAAAGGCAUGAACUAACAUAAUAGUUUUAUCUGUAAGUAAACAUGACACAAUACAGUCUUUGUUAUGUAAUUAUCACUCCGGUUUACAGGAAUAACUGAUAAUCAAGGGAGAUAACACACUCCAUACGAGUAAAGUGAAAUACAUCAUCAUCAUGUGCUUUUAUCCAAUAAUUUGACCCAUGUUCCAGACAUAUCAUUACUUUUUAACCUGAGAUGACAAACUAGAGGUGUUAAAAGGUCCUGAAUAACUGAAAUGGACAAAAAUACACAGAUUUAUUCAGAAUGUCAUACCUAUGAAGAUCACAUAAAAAUAUUUGGAAAAAUCAGAACUAUGGAUUGCAAUAUGGGACAACAUCCCUAAUGCGCCUUGAAAUGAGGAACUCAAAAGUCAUGUGUAAAGAAAAAAUCUCUGUGUAGUGAUAUUGGACAUGUUUCUAUUUUUAACAAAUGACUGAACUUAAUUAUUUGUGGUGAUUAGGAAAGUAGAGGAACAUAGAAUAAAUGUGUAAAAACUAUGGAGCUAUUGAAUGUGUUCAAAGUAUUAAAUUUUCAAAGAA